AAAUGACUGAGCUGCUCCUCCUUGGUGUCUCCUGUUUUUCAUGGAGGGGCCUCGGAUCUUGCGUACUUACGGCCUCUGACUUGGCAAGAAAACAAACACGGGACACCUGCUGAUGAGGCAAUUGUGAAGAGUUGAAGAGGACUAUUUCCCACCGGCCGUUGACAGUGUCUUGAUUUACAUGAAGAACCUGGUGAAGAGACCAAACUAUGCUCUCCCAGUCUAUCAUUCUAGUGGCACCGGAAAUUGGAUUUGGCUCGGGAAACUUCCAGUCUUAAAUGGUUAAGCAUCCAGA